UACGUAGGGUGCAAGCGUUUGUCCGGAAUUAUUGGGCGUAAAAGAGCUCGUAGGCGGUCUGUCGCGUCGGCUGUGAAAACUCGGGGCUCAACCCCCGAGCCUGCAGUCGAUACGGGCAGACUAGAGUGCUGUAGGGGAGACUGGAAUUCCUGGUGUAGCGGUGAAAUGCGCAGAUAUCAGGAGGAACACCGGUGGCGAAGGCGGGUCUCUGGGACGGUACUGACGCUGAGACGCGAAAGCGUGGGGAGCGAACAGG
rnacentral:rRNA from 1 species